AACGAACGCUGGCGGCAUGCCUAACACAUGCAAGUCGAACGAGACCUUCGGGUCUAGUGGCGCACGGGUGCGUAACGCGUGGGAACCUGCCCUUAGGUUCGGAAUAACUCCCCGAAAGGGGUGCUAAUACCGGAUAAUGUCUUCGGACCAAAGAUUUAUCGCCUUUGGAUGGGCCCGCGUUGGAUUAGCUAGUUGGUAGGGUAAAAGCCUACCAAGGCGACGAUCCAUAGCUGGUCUGAGAGGAUGAUCAGCCACACUGGGACUGAGACACGGCCCAGAAUCCUACGGGAGGGAGCAGUGGGGAAUAUUGGAAAAUGGGCGAAAGCCUGAUCCAGCAAUGCCGCGUGAGUGAUGAAGGCCUUAGGGUUGUAAAGCUCUUUUACCCGGGAUGAUAAUGACAGUACCGGGAGAAUAAGCUCCGGCUAACUCCGUG
rnacentral:rRNA from 1 species